rnacentral:rRNA from 1 species
UAGUCCGCGCCGUAAACGAUGGAUACUAGAUGUUGGUUGUUUUAUAACGAUCAGUGUCGCAGCUAACGCAUUAAGUAUCCCGCCUGGGGAGUACGAUCGCAAGGUUGAAACUCAAAGGAAUUGACGGGGGCCCGCACAAGCGGUGGAGCAUGUGGUUUAAUUCGAUGCAACGCGAAGAACCUUACCGGGGUUUGACAUUAUAGUGAAAUAUGCAGAGAUGUAUAUGCCUUUCGGGGCACUAUGACAGGUGCUGCAUGGCUGUCGUCAGCUCGUGUCGUGAGAUGUUGGGUUAAGUCCCGCAACGAGCGCAACCCUUGCCCAUAGUUGCCAGCACAUAAUGGUGGGGACUCUAUGGGGACUGCCGGUGAUAAACUGGAGGAAGGUGGGGAUGACGUCAAAUCAUCACGGCCCUUACGUCCUGGGCUACACACGUGCUACAAUGGGCAAGACAAUUAGUUGCAAGCUUGUGAAAGUUAGCUAAUCUCUAAACUUGUUCU